CUGCUUCCCCCUCCGCUGGUGGUCUGGACCGGGAGGUCCCGGACCUCCGCCGUGUGGACUUCGUCCAGUAGCUCCUGCAGCCACAUGCGCCGCUUAAAGUCCUGCAGCGCCCGGCCUUUGUCGUGCAUCAGCUGAGCGUUGGCGAGUGCGAGGGCGGAGCUGUGGGAGAGGACGAGGACGUCAGAGCAGAAGCAUCAGGACUUCAGUUUCUGGUCCAGAGGAGGUUCUGGCUGCAGGUUCUGGUGUCGGGAGGUGACGGAGGAUUAAUGCACCAGACGGGAGGGUGGAGGUGUGAAGUCCAGGCAUUUUAAAGACCGACAGAAGCUGCAGGAUGUUUCUGGUCAGCCGGCGGUGCGAGGCCCUGCUGCAGCAGACCGCUGUGUGAGGUGAAGACACUUCUCUUUAAAUAGAAAACACGAUGUGGUGGAGUCGUCUGCUGCCGGUCUGGAUGGGAAACACAUCUGGGCAGCAGUGACCCUUUAACUCCACGUCUCAGGAGGUCUCUCUCGGCUAUAAAUGACCCAGAAACUGAGCACAGCUCAGGUCCAGAUGGGUCACGGAGUCGGAGCAGCGUGGAAACAGCCCUGAAGUCUGCUUCCUGUCGCUCGCUACCUGUUACCACCUGUCCACGUCCACCCAGUGACCAGCGAGCUGAACAACAGUCAUGACACGUGGAAGAAGUUACAUAAGUCUGUCAUUUAGUAGUGCUGCUUCUUAUCAUUGCGAGGAGGCUGAUGACAGCUGAGUUCACACACCCAGCUGCAGACACUGUGAGAGGCACGUACGGCAGGCCGACGCCCACCGACAGGGAGGUCAGAGGUCACGAGGUUUACUGUUCUGUGGCCCGCGCCGAAGGCUCGAGGCGGCCCGGAGGCUUUGUGGAUCCCCGGCCUUCCAAGAACUCUCUGUGGGCACCGGGCGGCAAAGCCUCAAAAUCCACAGGGCAUAAAGACUCUUACUGUCACAGCUUCAGGAAGCAGCUGGCAGGAAGAGAUGAGGACGGACCGGGUCGAACAUGCUGAUGGAGGUGAAGGAGCUGGAAGGUGGAGCGGGUUGUUGACGUCAUGGUGGCAGAAUUACUGAACAGACUGAUCAGAGGACGGUAGACAGAAAUAUGAGCUGAGGCCUGGAAGCUCGAAGGUGUUGAUGACAGUGAUCAGAACCAACCGGAACAUUAUGAUGUCAUCACGUAGAGCAGCGGAGCCAAACGUCCCUCUGAGGGCGACAACUGGACUGAACCAGGAUCCUGAAGCCAAACUGCACGCUGACCUGUAAUCUUUAAUCUCAUUUAGACUUCCUCUGUUUUAACUUUAAUAUUUCAAUUCAGCAUUUCAACAGAGUUAACGCUACAUGCUGCUAACAGUUAGCAGCCAUUAGCUGGUUAGCGCAGGUAGCAAUGGAGCAGGCUAACUGUGUUAGCAUGCUAACUUCAGUGGAUAGAUCUUCAUGGUGAUGCGUCACAUGUUAAUGAUUAUGUUAAUUCAUUUUUUAUGUUUCCACAUAGGAGCGAAAAAAAGAAAUAAUCAUGACCUGUAAUCUGUUUAAUAACUCAAACUAUUAUUUUUUUUGUUGAAAUGAGAAACGUAACAUGUUUGUUCUGCAAUUCAAGUCAUUCUUUAUUUAGUUCCAUUACUGAAAAAUAAUUUCUGUCUUUAAUUUUAAAAUAAAUUGGCUGCUGCGUCGUCUCUGGUCCUGUUUCUCUGCCGCUCAGCUGAAGUUGUGUCGGUGCCCCUGUGAGGCCACAUGCAGAGAGAACAGCGUUAACAUCGUGGAAACAAACCUGUCACUUUAAAAAGAGAAGGACGAGAACAACAUGUGGGUUCCUCUGGUGACGUGCCGCCUCUUGUUUGUGUUGCAGCUUUAAAUAUAUAACUGCUAUAUUAGAGGAAGUCAGGGAGGUGCAGUCUCCCGCCUGCUGUGCCUCUCUGCAGCGCCGGGCUCGUCGGGUCCAGUGGGCCAGAUCUCUGAACAAUGGCGCGGCCCCCCUCAGACGGGCCUGCACUUCAUGUUUCAUGGAGGAAGUCGACAGUAUUUCAAACAUUCGCGUCGGGCAGAAAACUGAGCCAGUUUUAUUUAACGGCCUCUGAGUUUCUGGCGACUCUGCGUUCACAAUGAGCUCCACUGGGAAGAAGUCUAACUCUGUGAGCAGAGCGCUAAGACGUAUUUCUAAACAGUCUUUUAAUUCCCACAGUAAAAAUGUGCAGCAUAUACUGAGCUUCUUUGUAUGGAACUGAUUUCUGAAGCUAUAACCUGUUUCCUGUCUGAAGUGCUCUUUAAAGAGCUGCUCACAAAUAAUGGAAAAUGUUGCUGCUAAGCGAGCACUAAUAGUUGGAUCCGGCUCAUAAACAUGCGGCUGUGUAUUAGAAUUUAAUUAAGCAUCAGAAUCACCGGGUUGAGUCCCAUUUUUCUGCUGUUUGGUUUGGAGAGCGCUCCACAUACCGCCGGGUGAAGUCAGCUCAGACUUGGACUUUCUUCAUCUAUUUGUAAUGAUUUUACAUGUUUAUGACUGUGACUCAUUGAAAAGAAUGUUUUCCAUCACUGAGUGAGGUCUCUGCUGCAGCCACCCACUGCUGCUCCUCCAUACAGCACCUCCACCUCCACCAGCCGGCUCCCAGCAUGCAUCCUGGUAAUCAGCCGCAGCGAAUCAGAACGAGGCUCCACCAACCUGACGAGCUGCUGGCAGAGUGCAACUCAUUACUGUGCUCACUGAUGAAGGCUGAGCUGAAUGCUAACUGUGCAGCUAAACUGUUCAGAAGAACUGUUUCCCUUUUUUUUCAUUUUAUGUAUUUUUUUUUUUGUGUGUGUAUUUUUCUCACAAAAAAAUUUAAAACAAACAUCACAUCAUGUCACCCUUUAUAGUUUAAUUAAUGCCCAAAUGUUUUAAGUAUUAUUUUUAUUGAUGUAUUUAUUGAUACAUUUUUUAGUUUUAACUUGAUUGGUUUGAUUUGAGGCAUUUCUCAGAUGAUCAGAUUCAGUGUGCCAAUAAAAGAAAUAGAUUUUUUUUAAUGCCACUCUGGUACUCUGAUGCAGCUGUAAUCUGUAAAGUAACUAGUAACUAAAGUUAUGUAAUAAAUGUAGUGGAGUACAAAGAAUAAUGUUAGUCUGUUAAAUGUGGUGCGGUGGAAAUAUGAAGUAACAGAAAAUGGAAACAGUCGAGUGAAGAAGAACCUCAACAGCACAUUAGUUGAGUAAAACUACUUAGUUACUUGUCAUCACAGCACAUAAAGCAAAAGAGGAACAAUUAUUACAUGUAACUAAAGUCAUGAUUUGGCUUGAUAUGAAACGAUGAACAUGUUUUAUAUUUGCUCAGAAUGUGAAAACAUCUGGAUGUGGUGACCUGAGUCAUGUUGUCUGUGAGCUGCUUCACCUCAUGUGUUAGAGAACGCUGCCACCAUGUGGACCGACGCUGCAGCAGCUCCACAGUCGUCAGGGUCAAAGGUCAGGAUGACACACAGCAGCAGGACGACAGACAGAA